AGCGAACGCUGGCGGCAGGCUUAACACAUGCAAGUCGAGCGCCCCGCAAGGGGAGCGGCAGACGGGUGAGUAACACGUGGGAACGUACCCUUCAGUUCGGAACAACCCAGGGAAACUUGGGCAAAUACCGGAUACGUCCGUAAGGAGAAAGAUUUAUCGCUGAAGGAUCGGCCCGCGUCUGAUUAGCUAGUUGGUGAGGUAAUGGCUCACCAAGGCUACGAUCAGUAGCUGGUCUGAGAGGAUGAUCAGCCACAUUGGGACUGAGACACGGCCCAAACUCCUACGGGAGGCAGCAGUGGGGAAUAUUGGACAAUGGGGGCAACCUUGAUCCAGCCAUGCCGCGUGAGUGAUGAAGGCCCUAGGGUUGUAAAGCUCUUUUAGCGGGGAAGAUAAUGGCGGUACCCGCAGAAAAAGCCCCGGCUAACUUCGUGCCAGCAGCCGCCGUAACAC
rnacentral:rRNA from 1 species